UGAGAUUUCUUCUUCUCAUUUAAUAUUUAGGUUUGCAUUAAGCUGAUAAAAACUAACUAGAAGAGAGUGUAUCAUUAAGUGCAAAGAUUAUGAAGAAUGUGUAAAGAUGCUGAAGUCCAUGUGUGCUGAGAAGAGGCUGGAGAGCGAUACCCAGGACUCCGUGUCCAUAUUCCUGUCUACAUCAGGGACUGGAGGUACUGGAAGAAACAAGGCUUUGGUCUCCAUCUACCUGACAAUCACAGCCUCAGGGAAGUACUCAGAGAACAUGGCAGACAGCUCCCUACCCACCCUUCCCAGGCCCAGGUCUAGCUCCCCUUCAUCUCAGGCCAGGCCUGAACACCUCCCAUCUGGGGAUUAUUUGGGUUACAGGGCUGGAGCCAUCUGACUGCCUUGGAACAUAGAGUAGAAGUCUGACAGGAAGAUUAUCCCAGGCUCAAAUGCGAAGGGCUCCCCUGCUCCUGUGGUCAUGACUGGGAUGGUGUAUAAGCAGAUGGUGGUAACAGAGUGUGUGACAGAGGGAUCUCAGGUCCUUGCACCUACCCAUCUACCUGGCACAUCUGUUCUCUUUGGCUGCUGGAACUCUCUUAACACAACUUGUACACCCAGGCAAGUGGAUGGAGAUUCACUGCUGGUUCACUGCCUGAAAGCACAGGAAGACCCUGGAAGGCAUCCAAAGGGGGGAAAGUGCCGACCUGGCCCACUGAAGUGGCCCACCAACACACACUUACUGACCCACCCUCUUUCUGCUCAUGUGUGUCUCUCUGGCCUCUAUGGCCCUCCUUUCUCUGUGAGGAACAGAAACAAGGCCACCCCUUUCCUCAGGCCUGCAGCCUCUCCAGUUCUCAGUCCUUCAGUCCUUCCAGGACCAAGUGCAUGUGUCACUGACCUGAGAAUGCUCCUAAGAUUCUGAUCCACAAAUCAAUGGUUAUUAGCUUUAAUAACCAAACCAACUGCUCAGAUAGACACCCAUGUUGUCAGUGACAUGAGAAUCUGGGAAUUGGCUUCUGACCAUGCUACUAUGAGUAGUGUAGGAAGGAGGUAAAGAAAUGCUGGUUUCUAGGGGGAGCAGUAACAGGGAGUAUGGGCUGUAGCCUGCAAUGCUUGGGGAACUAUGUGACCCCAUCAGCAACAGCAACUGAAGCACCAAAUAGAAAUAGAAAUUCAAAAUGUGUAAGAAUCACAGAGGUGAUCACAGAAACGAGCCACUUUUGCUGUGGAGGAAGAGUUGCCUUGCUUUUGGUUCUCCCAGCCCUAUAAAGCCACAAGUUCUAACCUUGGUUGCCUUCUACAACUAGAUGAUAAGAUCCUAUGUCUGAAGAUGACACCCAUCUUGGUUGGAAGAUACAGAGAAAACAGCUGAAAGCUUCCUCCAUGCUGGCUAGCUUUCAUAGUGCCAGAAGAAACCACACUGGCUACUGGAGGAGAAAAGUCUUCAGCAGUCUCACCUAGCUGUGAUCCUCCUGGGCUAGAUAUGCCCUCUUUGCUACAGUGACAAACUGUUAUGUGAGCAACCAACUACACUCUGAUUACAUUUGAGUCCUUUCCACAGAAAAGAACCCAUACACGGUACUGUAAAUCUGGUGAAAAGCACAUGCUUGGGGACAUCAUAGGACAUAGGGGGAACUUAAUACUGUUAUCUAGUUAAAUGGACAUAGCAUCUAAUGACCUUCUAAAUAGCUAUAAUUAUACCCAUAGACAAAUGCUACCAUCAGCCUCAAUGAGAAAAACCCCCCUCUCUUUGCAGUGAACAAUGGUAAAUGCAGAGACCCAUGGCUUCUCAGGUGCUGAGAAUAAGUGAUGGUUGAAUUUUGAGCCUUAAACAAGACAUUUAUACCAGCUCCUCUGAGCUCAGGAACACAGUGGCCUAUGGGCAGAGAGAUUAUAUGAUAAGGAGAGGGGCUGCACAAUGCCAUCACUGGGUGGAACACAGCCAUUGCAAUCAUUUCAACUUGCAACUGCUAUGGUUACCUGAACUACUCUUGCACAAGACUGGGCAUGUCACUAAUGGGGGAUUUAUUAAGGCAACUCCACAUAGUUUAAGGGAGGUUUAUUUUGAGGUAAUUUGCAGCAAGUAAAGGGAUAGGUUACAGGAUCCGGGAGAGGUGAUCUCUGGAGAACUCUGCUCGGUCUACCAUCCAGCAUCCAGGAUCACCAGGAACCAAGAGAGCCAGCACAUCUGAAUCUUGGGUCUUAAAGGUUCCCGUCUCAGCCCCACCUAAGGGGCAGGCCAUAGGUAGGUGUGGCAAUUACGGGAAGCCUCACUGGGGUAAAGCUGGAACAGCUACCCACUACGUCUCCCCCUUUUGUCUAAAUAAAAAAGUUCUAAUACAAAACUAUAUACAAUAGGAAUGAUUAUCAAAUAUUGUCCAAGAGGAAUAAAGGAUAAUGACCUAGACAAGAUUGAACUACAACCAACACGAAUAAUAUCAAACAAGAGACACAGACUAAAAUCCAGAGAAGUCUGGAGCAUAGGUAAAUGGCACAUUACAAAGAUCAUUCCAAAAGAUGUCCUAUCCUAAAGAAUCUAAAUCUAAUACUUAAUAUGUUCUAGCUAAGAUACAAGAAGGUUGUAACGAUAACUGUUAGUCUUCAAUCCCAUCAAAGACCUGAGAAGGAUAGAAUAAUACCUUAGAAAUAGUAGAAGGAUGCAAGCAACUUUUGGGAGUCUUGUGAGAGUAGACAGAGACAGCUGGCAGCCUGGACAUUCACCUAAAGUUUCUCAGCAUUACUGGUGCAUUCAAAUUGGCUAUAGGCCUAGAGUAUCUGUCAGACCAUUUUAUUGUCAGCAGUCGAGGCAAGGGCAGUUCUUUGUCUAGUAGGCCAUUUUGUGCCAAGGUGAAGACAAACUUCCAGACGGAAAUAUCUCAGAAGCCCAACAUUCUCUUGGGAUCAGAUCGGUGCUGCCAGGAAUAAUUGUGUCUCACAUUAACAGAAUUCCAAGUUAUCAAAACAUUUAAAAGCCAUAUUCAUCAGGUCUAUGAAGUGUUUGAAGAUCACCUAUUCACCUGACAUGUUUUUGUAAGUCUGGAGAACCUAACUAACAUAACUAUAGAGAUGACAUGCAUUGGUGACUAUAAAUUUGCAAGUCUUAUCUAUCUAGAUAACCUAAGGACUAAGGCUUCAUCUAAACAGGGUAAACAGUCUAUAAGCAAUUGUACAGCAAAAGGACAAUGACCUCAAAAUUGUGACAAUACACAAAAUAGCAAAAGCAGAGGCAGAAAUGUCUAGUACAAUAUAACAAUAAUCCUAAAUAUACAUCAAUAUACCAAAUAUCCUAAACAGACGUAGAACAUACAUACAGUAUGAUAAAUAUAAUUUUACAUUUGUAUCAAUAUAUGAAACAUUUCAAAUAAGAGUAGAAAUAUAUGUAUAUUACAACAAAUACAGUUCUGUAUUUGUAUCAAUAUACAAAUUAUCUGGAAUAUGAAUAUAAAAAUAGCUUACAUUUGUAUCAAUAUAUAGGAAUCCAUAACAGUACAAUUUACCUAAGGCUGAUAUUUUACUAAAUUAGUUUACUAGUAUAUACAAUAAUCUACCUUAAUAUCCUAUACCUGUCCAUUCCCCCUUUUUUCUUUUCUUAAGGGGAAUACUGAGUCCAAUGUUUUCUUCCACCCUCAACCCUAUAACCAUUAUCUAUAACCCUCAGAAACAUGAAACUUUUGGGAAAAAGAGCAUCAUUUUCUUAGAAUUGCUUCCUGCUGUUCAGGAGGCGAUGGUGUCUCUGUGGAGUUCUGUAAGAAAGCUCAGAUAGUUAAAUCUCAGUUGGACUAACUGUAGAUUCUGCAGCCAGUACCAGAGUAAUGGGUAAGAUUGUCUGAGAUUCUGGCUAGAAGUGUAGUAUGAUGAUGAGUACCCUGGCAUCAUUCUGGACUGGAUAGAGUUGUUGUUGUGGGGCCCCAUCUUCCUUCUGGAGAAUUCAGAGAUUGCUAUUGGAAAAACUAAUUUUUUUACUGUGAAAAACUUGAACAUUAUUAAUAUCAAAAUGGAAAGGUUGGAUUUAAAGAUGACAUGAUAUAUAAGAAAGGAUUCCAAGAAAUCAAGAAUAAGCAUGGAGAGAAUUAGAAUCUUGAAGACAAUGGUCCCUUUUUACUGGUUUUCUUCUGUCCCACACUAGACAGCUCUUCUGAUAUGACACAGAAUCUCUCAAACUUUUUCUUUUAGCAGUAUGCUUGGGUUUAGAGUAGGAGUAAGCCAAUUCCAACUCCCAAACCAGCAUGGUAAUAUAAUUGAAUUGGAACCACAACUUUUCUAGAAUUAAAGAGAUAUAGAUGGUAGGCAGUGAGAUAUUACCCUGUGUAGAUUGGUACCAAUAGAUUUUUUUCUUUCCACUAUAGAUGUCUGGAUAUCCAAGGCCUUAUGAUUUCUGGAAGAUGAGUAUUUCUAUUAUGCUGUAAAGACAAAAACAGAACCCUACCCCAACCUUUGUUAAGUUUCUCUUACAAGUUGAAGAAAUGUCGCAUUGCUAGAUAAGCUUUUACUUCUCCUCAUCAAGGGGUUUCUCUUGUUCAAAUCAAAUUUUUAUUAAUUUUAUUGGUAUCCAUAGCUUUUCUUCUCCUGCAGAAACGAAAGCAAAACCCCUUCCCCAACAUAGGUCGUAUACUGGUUUCCAUUCUGAGGUCAACACAUCUUUGAAAUAAACUGGUUGAUUAAACUCUGAAGUUUUGUCUGUCAUCCAAUGUCUCUCCACAGCUGUUGUUCCUUUCUCAUCAGCAUUGAGAAAAUUCAAUGUUAAUAAAGCAUUAUGCAAUCAA